CACGUAGGGUGCGAGCGUUGUCCGGAUUUAUUGGGCGUAAAGAGCUCGUAGGCGGUUCGGUAAGUCGGGUGUGAAACCUCCAGGCUCAACCUGGAGACGCCACCCGAUACUGCUGUGACUAGAGUCCGGUAGGGGAGCGUGGAAUUCCUGGUGUAGCGGUGAAAUGCGCAGAUAUCAGGAGGAACACCAGCGGCGAAGGCGGCGCUCUGGGCCGGAACUGACGCUGAGGAGCGAAAGCGUGGGGAGCAAACAGG
rnacentral:rRNA from 1 species